CCUACGGGCGGCAGCAGUGAGGAAUAUUGGUCAAUGGACGAGAGUCUGAACCAGCCAAGUAGCGUGAAGGAUGACUGCCCUUUGGGUUGUAAACUUCUUUUAUAUGGGAAUAAAAUGUUCCACGUGUGGGAUUUUGUAUGUACCAUAUGAAUAAGGAUCGGCUAACUCCGUGCCAGCAGCCGCGGUAAUACGGAGGAUCCGAGCGUUAUCCGGAUUUAUUGGGUUUAAAGGGAGCGUAGGUGGAUUGUUAAGUCAGUUGUGAAAGUUUGCGGCUCAACCGUAAAAUUGCAGUUGAAACUGGCAGUCUUGAGUACAGUAGAGGUGGGCGGAAUUCGUGGUGUAGCGGUGAAAUGCUUAGAUAUCACGAAGAACUCCGAUUGCGAAGGCAGUUCACUGGACUGCAACUGACACUGAGGCUCGAAAGUGUGGGUAUCAAACAGGAUUAGAUACCCGGGUAGUC
rnacentral:rRNA from 1 species